CAGUAUGUUGCCUCUCUUUGCUUUUAUCUCUGAAUUUCACUUUGCUCCUUUUGUUUCAUUUUCGUGUUGUGCAGGAGAAGCAGAGUGCAAAGCAAAGGGAGUAGAAGAGUGGCUGUGACAUUCCUGUGCAGACCUGGUGCAAUGCAUACAGGUGGCAAUACAGCUGCUGGCUUUCAUGAAGGAAGAUAUGUGCCUUUUUAGUUUGCCUUUGAAAACAUAUGUUACAACUGGCUCCUGUACCACUAAGUAUGGACAGAGGUCUCCAGGGAAUGCUCCUGACUAUGCGCAGCAAAACUGUAUAAAAAGGUGAGUUUCUAAAGAUUUGUCAAUGAACGAGUACAUAAUUUUUC
rnacentral:lncRNA from 12 species